rnacentral:rRNA from 1 species
GUUCGUAGGUGACCUGCGGAGGAUCAUUAGAAAUAUCCGGCCAAGCCGGUAUAAAAUUCUAUCCACCUUGUGUGCAAAAAAUGAAAAAGAGAGAAAAUUGGAUUCUUUUAUCCAAACUUCUCUAAAAUUUUACAAACUCCAUCAAAUUUUUGAAUGAAAACGAUUUUUUUUUAAUAAAAAAUAUUUAUACAACUUUCAACAACGGAUCUCUUGGCUCUCGCAUCGAUGAAGAACGCAGCGAAAUGCGAUACGUAAUGUGAAUUGCAGAAUUUUGUGAAUCAUCGAAUCUUUGAACGCAUAUUGCACUCUCUGGUAUUCCGGAGAGUACACCUGUUUCAGUAUCAAAAAUGUCAUCCAAAGUUUUGGUUUGUUUAUUCCGAAACUUUUGGGAUUUGGGUUCUGCAGAAAUUUUAUUUUCAGCUGACCUUAAAUAAUUUUAGCCACAACAUAAAAGUAUUUGGGCGAUAAGGCGUAAUAGUUGGUGCUUUCGGGUCCAUUCUUUCGCUGAAGCCUGUCUUUCUUGAAACUCUGGCUCAAAAUUAUGGAAAAAGAAAUAUAUAUAUAUGGGUUUCACCAUUGUUUAGAUCUGAAAUCAGGUGGGACUACCCGCUGAACUUAAGCAUAUCAAUAAGCGGAGGAAAAGAAACUAACAAGGAUUCCCUUAGUAACGGCGAGUGAAGCGGGAAAGCUCAAAUUUAAAUCUGGCGGGUCCCCGUCCGAGUUGUAAUUUCAAGAUGCGUUUCCGGUUCGGUGCGCGCCUGGGUAUAAGUCCUUUGGAACAGGGCAUCAUAGAGGGUGAGAAUCCCGUUUGUGACCCGGGGCAGCGUACUGUGUGUUACGUCAUCAAAGAGUCAGGUUGUUUGGGAAUGCAGCCUAAAAUGGGUGGUAAAUUUCAUCUAAAGCUAAAUAUAGGCGAGAGACCGAUAGCGAACAAGUACCGUGAGGGAAAGAUGAAAAGAACUUUGAAAAGAGAGUAAAACAGUACGUGAAAUUGUUGAAAGGGAAACGUUUGAAAUCAGUCAUGUGGGCGGGUAAUCAGCUUGGCCUUCGGGUCUUGUGCACUUUCCCGUCUCGCAGGUCAGCGUCGGUUUCGAUUGCCGGAUAAAUGCCAAGGGAAUGUAGCUUUGCCUUUCGCGAGGUGGGGUGUUAUAGCCCUGGUAAAUACGGUGGUCGGGACCGAGGUCUGCAGUCGAUGCCUCUCGGGGCUGGGGACUCUAUCGCUUGUUCGAACCCGUGCCUAGACAGCUUGCUGACUAGGUGGGAGGUUUGGGCGACACGGUGGCCUACCACACAUCGACUUAGGUCGCUGACGUAAUGGUUUUAAAUGACCCGUCUUGAAACACGGACCAAGGAGUCUAACAUAUAUGCGAGUGUUUGGGUGGCAAACCCAUGCGCGUAAUUAAAGUGAAUGUAGGUGAGAUCCUCGCGGAGCAUCAUCGACCGAUCCUGAUAUUUUUGGAUGGAUUUGAGUAGGAGCAUAUCUGUUGGGACCCGAAAGAUGGUGAACUAUGCCUGAAUAGGGUGAAGCCAGAGGAAACUCUGGUGGAAACUGCGUAGCGAUUCUGACGUGCAAAUCGAUCGUCAAAUUUGGGUAUAGGGGCGAAAGACUAUC